AUCAUGCAAGUCGAGCGGACUUGAUGGGAGCUUGCUCCCUGAUAGUUAGCGGCGGACGGGUGAGUAACACGUGGGCAACCUACCUUUAAGACUGGGAUAACUUCGGGAAACCGGAGCUAAUACCGGAUAAUAUGUAAGACCACAUGGUCUUACAUUNAAAGAUGGCUUCGGCUAUCACUUAUAGAUGGGCCCGCGGCGCAUUAGCUAGUUGGUGAGGUAAUGGCUCACCAAGGCGACGAUGCGUAGCCGACCUGAGAGGGUGAUCGGCCACACUGGGACUGAGACACGGCCCAGACUCCUACGGGAGGCAGCAGUAGGGAAUCUUCCGCAAUGGACGAAAGUCUGACGGAGCAACGCCGCGUGAACGAUGAAGGCUUUCGGGUCGUAAAGUUCUGUUGUUAGGGAAGAACAAGUACCAGAGUAACUGCUGGUACCUUGACGGUACCUAACCAGAAAGCCACGGCUAACUACGUGCCAGCAGCCGCGGUAAUACGUAGGUGGCAAGCGUUAUCCGGAAUUAUUGGGCGUAAAGCGCUCGCAGGCGGUCUUUUAAGUCUGAUGUGAAAGCCCACGGCUCAACCGUGGAGGGUCAUUGGAAACUGGGAGACUUGAGUGCAGAAGAGGAGAGUGGAAUUCCACG
rnacentral:rRNA from 1 species